UACGGAGGGUGCAAGCGUUAUCCGGAUUCACUGGGUUUAAAGGGUGCGUAGGUGGGCAGGUAAGUCAGCGGUGAAAUCCCCGAGCUUAACUUGGGAACUGCCAUUGAUACUAUCUGUCUUGAAUACCUUGGAGGUGAGCGGAAUAUGUCAUGUAGCGGUGAAAUGCUUAGAUAUGACAUAGAACACCAAUUGCGAAGGCAGCUUACUACACAGUAAUUGACGCUGAGGCACGAAAGCGUGGGGAUCAAACAGG
rnacentral:rRNA from 1 species